rnacentral:rRNA from 1 species
UACAGGAGUCUCAAGCGUUGUUCGGAUUCAUUGGGCGUAAAGGGCGCGUAGGCGGCGAGGUAAGUCGGGUGUGAAAUCUCAGAGCUCAACUCUGAAACUGCACUCGAUACUGCUUUGCUAGAGGACUGGAGAGGAGAUUGGAAUUCACGGUGUAGCAGUGAAAUGCGUAGAUAUCAGGAGGAACACCGGUGGUGUAGACGGCUCUCUGGACCGUAACUGACGCUGAGACGCGAAAGCGUGGGGAGCAAACAGG